rnacentral:rRNA from 1 species
UACGUAGGGUGCGAGCGUUGUCCGGAAUUAUUGGGCGUAAAGGGCUCGUAGGCGGUCUGUCACGUCGGGAGUGAAAACUCAGGGCUUAACCCUGAGCCUGCUUCCGAUACGGGCAGACUAGAGGUAUGCAGGGGAGAACGGAAUUCCUGGUGUAGCGGUGAAAUGCGCAGAUAUCAGGAGGAACACCGGUGGCGAAGGCGGGUCUCUGGGCCGUAACUGACGCUGAGGAGCGAAAGCAUGGGGAGCGAACAGG